UGGUGCAAUGGCAUGUCUGCAUCUACAGAAAAGUAGCAAAGUGGCUAAAGUUAAAGGUCGACGAAAGGAUAAAGAUACCAAGCAAAAAUACCAAGCUGUAUAUUCAAAAGUUUGCAUACAAUUCGAAAAAAUGUGACAUCCCCCUAUGGUGUGAGAGUUGCUUUCGGCAUCAAAUGAACUGCGUAGCAUAUUUGCUAGAGUACACAUCAAAGAAAAAAGUCACUCUAGAUAGGAGCAGCAGUGGAAAGUUCAGCACAGAAAAUGUUUUAUUUCACGCACCAUUAUAGUGGUUUAUCAUCUGCUCCUGUUGUGUUUUGUGGAAACGCAC
rnacentral:lncRNA from 1 species